rnacentral:ribozyme from 1 species
GACGUAAUUGACUCGUGGGAUAAAGAGUUCCUGUUCACAGACUUAGUCAAGAACCACGAUGAGAAGCAACACGAAACCCUUAUUGACGUCAUCAUGGCUGCCAACUUCUUG